GAUGAACGCUGGCGGCGUGCUUAACACAUGCAAGUCGAACGAACACUUUCGGGUGUUAGUGGCGGACGGGUGAGUAACGCGUGAGGAUCUGCCUACAGGACCGGGACAACAGUGGGAAACUGCUGCUAAAACCGGAUGUGCCGAGAGGUGAAAUAUUUAUAGCCUGUAGAUGAACUCGCGUCUGAUUAGCUAGUUGGUGGUGUAAGGGACUACCAAGGCUUUGAUCAGUAGCUGUUCUGAGAGGAAGAUCAGCCACACUGGGACUGAGACACGGCCCAG
rnacentral:rRNA from 1 species